GGGGGAAUAUUGCACAAUGGAGGAAACUCUGAUGCAGCGACGCCGCGUGAGUGAAGAAGGUCUUCGGAUCGUAAAACUCUGUCCUUGGUGAAGAAGAAAAUGACGGUAGCCAAGGAGGAAGCCCCGGCUAACUACGUGCCAGCAGCCGCGGUAAUACGUAGGGGGCGAGCGUUGUCCGGAUUUACUGGGCGUAAAGGGUGAGUAGGCGGUUAUAUAAGUCAGAUGUAAAAGGCACAGGCUUAACUUGUGUAAGCAUUUGAAACUGUAUAACUUGAGUGCAGGAGAGGUAAGUGGAAUUCCUAGUGUAGCGGUGAAAUGCGUAGAUAUUAGGAGGAACACCAGUGGCGAAGGCGACUUACUGGACUGUAACUGACGCUGAGUCACGAAAGCGUGGGUAGC
rnacentral:rRNA from 1 species